GUGAGGAAUAUUGCGCAAUGGGGGCAACCCUGACGCAGCAACGCCGCGUGAGUGAAGAAGGCCUUCGGGUUGUAAAGCUCUGUCAGGCGGGAAGAAACCUCCGUGGGCGAAUACCCCUCGGAAUUGACGGUACCGCCAAAGGAAGCACCGGCUAACUCCGUGCCAGCAGCCGCGGUAAGACGGAGGGUGCAAGCGUUGUUCGGAAUCACUGGGCGUAAAGCGCGUGUAGGCGGUUUGAUAAGUCGAGUGUGAAAGCCCGAGGCUCAACUUCGGAAGUGCACUCGAAACUGUCAAGCUUGAGUACGGGAGAGGGAAGUGGAAUUCCUGGUGUAGAGGUGAAAUUCGUAGAUAUCAGGAGGAACACCGGUGGCGAAGGCGGCUUCCUGGACCGAUACUGACGCUGAGACGCGAAAGCGUGGGGAGCAAACAGGAUUAGAAACCCCAGUAGUCC
rnacentral:rRNA from 1 species